CGUUUCCAUGGAGACUGAAGUACUUCGAGACGCGCACGGAUCUUCUCGACUUUUUCUGCAAACCAGCAAAUGUUAAAUUAACCAUGACGAAUAUUAGUCGGACAAAGAAUGUGUACUUAAUAAUAACACCGCCUUAAAUUAACUCUGGACGAUAAAUAGUUAUGGUUAAAGGCAGUUAACCGACUAACGAGGUGUGUCAAGCUAUGACGGAUGCUAAUGAGAUCUGUGAAUCAGUAAUGCUGGAGCUGAGUAAGCUAGUCCUCUCUGAUACUGAUGAAACUACAGAAGAGCAACAACGGUUUUCAAUGUCACGAAGAGGCGGCCUUGGAUGAUUUUCCAGCGUCUCUACUCAGCUACUUUGAAACCUCAAAAAGCAGAGCAGCAGCUUGUGAGAAAUCCAUUCUUGAGGAACUUGAAGACUUAACUGCAUCACAUCACACUGAUGGUGCAGUAGAUUUGCAUAAUGGACUCAAUAAGGACAUGAUGAAAUUAAAUGGGCAGAAUGUUUAUGAAACAGAGAAUGAGGUGAACAAGUCUGAUGACCAACUUUAUCAUGCCCUGGCAGAGACCCAAGCACUGGUUUGCUCACAGUGUGCCACUGUCUCCCAACGAUGAAGACGAAGCAGGAACAGAUGAAUUUAUGGACAAUGAGAGUGAUUGGUAUUGAGAAUCAGCGAAUGUGAGGCAGAGCGAGAGAAACGCCACUGCAAGGAGCUGCAGGAAAAGGAGCAAAGACGACAAAGAGAAAUGGACUUCCAGGAGGAGCUGAGGAAGAUAAUGGAGG